CUCUCUUCUUAAAUUUCAAAAUUUAAAAUCUCUUCAAGAUUUCUUUCUCCCUUUUCUUCCUUCUUUCUUUCUCUUUCUAGAUUUCUUGUCCCUCUUCUUCUUCUUCUUCAUUUCUUUUUCUCUUCUUCCAUUUAUUUGUUCUUCUUUGUUGUUGCUAUCAUUAUCGUUGUCGUUCAUUAUUUUUUAUCAUGUUUUUUCCCUUUUCUCUUGUUGGUCUUAUUUCACAAACUAAUUUGCUUUAAUUUUAAAAAAAUUGAAGUUGAAGUCAUUGUUUUUUUGUAGAAAAUUAAGCAACAACUGAAGUUAUCGCAAUAACUGUUGAAGUUAUUGUAGCUACUGUUAAAGUUUUUUCAGCAACUGCUAAAGUUUGCUCAGCAACUGUUGAAGUUAUCGUAGCAACUGUUAAAGUUUUUUCAGCAACUGCUCAAGUUGCUGCAACAACUACAAUAAUUGUUGUAGCAAGUGAGGUAAAAGAG
rnacentral:lncRNA from 1 species